GCCAGCGUAGUGUAGUGAUUUGGACAUUGGAUUACGACUCCGGAGAACAGGGUUUGAAUCCCUGCUCAGCCA